GGUUAAGCUAAUAAGAGCACACGGAGGAUGCCUAGGCACCAGGAGCCGAAGAAGGACGUGGCGAACGACGAAAUGCCUCGGGGAGCCGUAAGCAGGCUUUGAUCCGGGGAUGUCCGAAUGGGGGAACCCGCGUGAGGUAAUACUCACGUACCACACAGUGAAUACAUAGCUGUGUAGGAGGCAGACGAGGGGAACUGAAACAUCUAAGUACCCUCAGGAAAAGAAAACAAAAGUGAUUCCGUCAGUAGCGGCGAGCGAAAGCGGAACAGCCCAAACCAAGGGGCUUGCCCCUUGGGGUUGUAGGACGUCAAUGUGAGUGCAGGUUGGUAGGCGAACAGGUCUGGAAAGGCCGGCCAAAGUGGGUAACAGCCCCGUAACCGAAAGCAACCGAGACUCUAGACGGAUCCUGAGUACGGCGGGACACGUGAAACCCCGUCGGAAUCCGGCAGGACCAUCUGCCAAGGCUAAAUACUCCCUGGUGACCGAUAGUGAAGCAGUACCGUGAGGGAAAGGUGAAAAGAACCGCGGGAGCGGAGUGAAAAAGAACCUGAAACCGUGUGCUUACAAGAAGUCAGAGCUCGUUAAUGAGUGAUGGCGUGCCUUUUGUAGAAUGAACCGGCGAGUUACGUUUACGCGCAAGGUUAAGGUGAGAAGCCGGAGCCGCAGCGAAAGCGAGUCUGAAUAGGGCGAAUAAGUACGUAGACGUAGACCCGAAACCGUGUGAUCUACCCCUGUCCAGGGUGAAGGUGCGGUAACACGCACUGGAGGCCCGAACCCACGAAUGUUGAAAAAUUCGGGGAUGAGGUGGGGGUAGCGGAGAAAUUCCAAUCGAACUCGGAGAUAGCUGGUUCUCCCCGAAAUAGCUUUAGGGCUAGCCUUGGGAUUGAGAGUCGCGGAGGUAAAGCACUGAUUGGGUGCGGGGCCCGCCAAGGGUUACCAAGUCCAGUCAAACUCUGAAUGCCGCAGACUUAUGCCCAGGAGUCAGACAGUGAGUGCUAAGAUCCAUUGUCAAGAGGGAAACAGCCCAGAUCAUCAGCUAAGGUCCCCAAGUGUGUGUUAAGUGGGAAAGGAUGUGGAGUUGCAAAGACAACCAGGAUGUUGGCUUAGAAGCAGCCACCAUUGAAAGAGUGCGUAAUAGCUCACUGGUCGAGUGACUCUGCGCCGAAAAUGUAACGGGGCUAAACACACCACCGAAGCUAUGAGUCCAAUUAUGGGCAGUAGGGGAGCGUUGUAACAGCAGUGAAGGUUGAUCGUGAGGACAGCUGGAGCGGUUACAAGUGAGAAUGCCGGUAUGAGUAACGAAAAGACAAGUGAGAAUCUUGUCCGCCGUAAGCCUAAGGGUUCCUGAGGAAGGUUCGUCCGCUCAGGGUAAGUCGGGACCUAAGGCGAGGCCGAAAGGCGUAGUCGAAGGACAACAGGUUGAAAUUCCUGUACCACCGUGAACCGUUAUGAGCGAUGGGGUGACGCAGAAGGAUAGUGACGCGGACUGAUGGAUGUCCGUCCAAGCAGCGAGGCUGGUUAGUAGGCAAAUCCGCUAACCGAAAGGCUGGGCUGUGAUGGGGAGCGAAAUUAUAGUAGCGAAGGUCAUGAGUUCAAGCUGCCAAGAAAAGCCUCUAGCCAGGGAGAAGGUGCCCGUACCGCAAACCGACACAGGUAGGCGAGCAGAGCAUGCUAAGGCGCUCGGAAGAACUCUCGUUAAGGAACUCGGCAAAAUGACCCCGUAACUUCGGGAGAAGGGGUGCCUCGGUAGGGUGAAUAGCCCGAGGGGGCCGCAGUGAAAAGGCCCAAGCGACUGUUUAGCAAAAACACAGGUCUGUGCGAAGCCGCAAGGCGAAGUAUACGGGCUGACGCCUGCCCGGUGCUGGAAGGUUAAGGGGAGCGGUUAGGGGUUAAACCCGAAGCUGUGAACCGAAGCCCCAGUAAACGGCGGCCGUAACUAUAACGGUCCUAAGGUAGCGAAAUUCCUUGUCAGGUAAAUUCUGACCCGCACGAAUGGCGUAACGACUUGGGCGCUGUCUCGACGAGAGAUCCGGUGAAAUUUUAAUACCUGUGAAGAUGCAGGUUACCCGCGACAAGACGGAAAGACCCCAUGGAGCUUUACUGCAGCUUGAUAUUGGACUUUGGUACGAUCUGUACAGGAUAGGUGGGAGCCUAGGAAGCCGGAGCGCCAGCUUCGGUGGAGGCGCCGUUGGGAUACCACCCUGAUCGUAUCGGAGUUCUAACCUGGCACCAUUAGCUGGUGCGGGGACAGUGUCAGGUAGGCAGUUUGACUGGGGCGGUCGCCUCCUAAAGAGUAACGGAGGCGCCCCAAGGUUCCCUCAGAAUGGUUGGAAAUCAUUCGAAGAGUGCAAAGGCAUAAGGGAGCUUGACUGCGAGACAAACAGGUCGAGCAGGGACGAAAGUCGGGCUUAGUGAUCCGGUGGUACCGAAUGGAAGGGCCAUCGCUCAACGGAUAAAAGCUACCCUGGGGAUAACAGGCUUAUCUCCCCCAAGAGUCCACAUCGACGGGGAGGUUUGGCACCUCGAUGUCGGCUCAUCGCAUCCUGGGGCUGAAGUAGGUCCCAAGGGUUGGGCUGUUCGCCCAUUAAAGCGGUACGCGAGCUGGGUUCAGAACGUCGUGAGACAGUUCGGUCCCUAUCUGUCGCGGGCGUAGGAAAUUUGAGAGGAGCUGUCCUUAGUACGAGAGGACCGGGAUGGACGUACCGCUGGUGUACCAGUUGUCUCGCCAGAGGCACGGCUGGAUAGCCAAGUACGGAAGGGAUAAGCGCUGAAAGCAUCUAAGCGUGAAGCCCCCCUCAAGAUGAGAUUUCCCAGUAUGUAAGACCCCUUGUAGACGACGAGGUAGAUAGGUUCGGGGUGGAAGCGCGGCAACGUGUGGAGCUGACGAAUACUAAUCGGUCGAGGGCUUAUCCUA
rnacentral:rRNA from 1 species